UUGGUCUGACCUGUCUUACAUUCCAACAUGUGGAGAUUAUGAACAUUACAAGCCCAAUUACUUUGAAAAAUAACUCACAAUCUAAAAACAAGAUAAUUGCAUCAUUAAAAAAUAAAUAGUUGACUGCCAUAUCUGGGUAAAGAAAGUGGCCAUUUUGGGUACAUAAGAGGUAGCGUCGGCAGAAUUAUCCCGAACCACCUGGUUUAGGGCAUACCAAGCCGUAUCGGCGAGCGGAUCGGGACAAUUCCGGCCUUCAAAUCGAGAAACUGGUGAAAGAGGGAGAGAGGAAGAAGGAAAGAGAAAAAG
rnacentral:lncRNA from 1 species